rnacentral:rRNA from 1 species
GUAGGUGGCAAGCGUUGUCCGGAAUUAUUGGGCGUAAAGCGCGCCCAGGCGGUUCUUUAAGUCUGAUGUGAAAGCCCACGGCUCAACCGUGGAGGGUCAUUGGAAACUGGAGAACUUGAGUACAGAAGAGGAAAGCGGAAUUCCACGUGUAGCGGUGAAAUGCGUAGAGAUGUGGAGGAACACCAGUGGCGAAGGCGGCUUUCUGGUCUGUAACUGACGCUGAGGCGCGAAGGCGUGGGGAGCAAACAGGGAUUAGAUACCCUGGUAGUCCACGCCGUAAACGAUGAGUGCUAAGUGUUAGGGGGUCUCGCCCCCCUUAGUGCUGCAGCUAACGCAUUAAGCACUCCGCCUGGGAUACGGCCGCAAGGCUG